CCUACGGGUGGCUGCAGUGAGGAAUAUUGGUCAAUGGACGAGAGUCUGAACCAGCCAAGUAGCGUGAAGGAUGACUGCCCUAUGGGUUGUAAACUUCUUUUAUAAAGGAAUAAAACGAGGCACGUGUGCCUUUUUGCAUGUACUUUAUGAAUAAGGAUCGGCUAACUCCGUGCCAGCAGCCGCGGUAAUACGGAGGAUCCGAGCGUUAUCCGGAUUUAUUGGGUUUAAAGGGAGCGUAGAUGGGUUGUUAAGUCAGUUGUGAAAGUUUGCGGCUCAACCGUAAAAUUGCAAUUGAUACUGGUAGUCUUGAGUACAUUUGAGGUAGGCGGAAUUCGUGGUGUAGCGGUGAAAUGCUUAGAUAUCACGAAGAACCCCGAUUGCGAAGGCAGCUUACUAAACUGUGACUGACAUUGAUGCUCGAAAGUGUGGGGAUCAAACAGGAUUAGAUACCCUUGUAGUC
rnacentral:rRNA from 1 species